rnacentral:rRNA from 1 species
UACGGAGGGUGCAAGCGUUGUUCGGAUUUACUGGGCGUAAAGGGUGCGUAGGUGGCGGGGUAAGUCUGGUGUGAAAGCUCCGAGCUUAACUCGGAAAAGCAUUGGAAACUAUCCCGCUGGAGGGUCGGAGGGGAGACUGGAAUUCUCGGUGUAGCAGUGAAAUGCGUAGAUAUCGAGAGGAACACCAGUGGCGAAGGCGAGUCUCUGGACGACUCCUGACACUGAGGCACGAAAGCUAGGGGAGCAAACAGG